GAUGAACGCUAGCUACAGGCUUAACACAUGCAAGUCGAGGGGAAACGAUAGAGAAAGCUUGCUUUUUCUAGGCGUCGACCGGCGCACGGGUGAGUAACGCGUAUCCAACCUGCCCAUCACUUGGGGAUAACCUUGCGAAAGUAAGACUAAUACCCAAUGACGUCUCUAGAAGACAUCUGAGAGAGAUUAAAGAUUUAUCGGUGAUGGAUGGGGAUGCGUCUGAUUAGCUUGUUGGCGGGGUAACGGCCCACCAAGGCGACGAUCAGUAGGGGUUCUGAGAGGAAGGUCCCCCACAUUGGAACUGAGACACGGUCCAAACUCCUACGGGAGGCAGCAGUGAGGAAUAUUGGUCAAUGGACGAGAGUCUGAACCAGCCAAGUAGCGUGCAGGAUGACGGCCCUAUGGGUUGUAAACUGCUUUAUAAGGGAAUAAAGUGAGUCUCGUGAGACUUUUGCAUGUACCUUAUGAAUAAGGACCGGCUAA
rnacentral:rRNA from 1 species